AAAGCGUGGGUAGCAAACAGGAUUAGAUACCCUGGUAGUCCACGCCGUAAACGAUGUCUACUAGUCGUUGGGGAACNUGAUUCNUUAGUGACGCAGCUAACGCAAUAAGUAGACCGCCUGGGGAGUACGGCCGCAAGGUUAAAACUCAAAUGAAUUGNCGGGGGCCCGCACCAGCGGUGGAGCAUGUGGUUUANUUNGAUGCAACGCGAAGAACCUUACCUGGUCUUGACAUAUCUAGAAUCCUGCAGAGAUGCGGGAGUGCCUUCGGGAAUUAGAAUACAGGUGCUGCAUGGCUGUCGUCAGCUNGUGUCGUGAGAUGUUGGGUUAAGUCCCGCAACGAGCGCAACCCUUGUCCUUAGUUACCAGCGGGUUAAGCCGGGAACUCUAAGGAUACUGCCAGUGACAAACUGGAGGAAGGCGGGGACGACGUCAAGUCAUCAUGGCCCUUACGACCAGGGCUACACACGUGCUACAAUGGUAGGUACAGAGGGCAGCUACACAGCGAUGUGAUGCGAAUCUCAAAAAGCCUAUCGUAGUCCAGAUUGGAGUCUGCAACUCGACUCCNUGAAGUAGGAAUCGCUAGUAAUCGCGGAUCAGAAUGCCGCGGUGAAUACGUUCCCGGGCCUUGUACACACCGCCCGUCACACCAUGGGAGUUGAUUGCACCAGAAGUGGUUAGCCGAACCUUUUAGGACGGCG
rnacentral:rRNA from 1 species